GACGAACCGAGCGAACGUUGUUCGGAAUCACUGGGCUUAAAGGGCGCGUAGGCGGGUGCUCAAGUCCGGGGUGAAAUCCUCCAGCUCAACUGGAGAACUGCCUUUGAUACUGAGGAUCUUGAGUUCGGGAGAGGUGAGUGGAACUGCGAGUGUAGAGGUGAAAUUCGUAGAUAUCAAGAGGAACACCUGCGGCGAAGGCGGGUUGCUGGGCCGACACUGACGCUGAGGCGCGAAAGCUAGGGGAGCGAACGGG
rnacentral:rRNA from 1 species